rnacentral:lncRNA from 1 species
CAGUGGGGUACCUCAGGGAUCUGUACUUGGACCCAUUCUCUUUAAUAUUUUUAUUAGUGAUAUUGCAGAAGGUCUUGAUGGUAAGGUAUGUCUUUUUGCUGAUGAUACUAAGAUAUGUAACAGGGUUGAUGUUCCAGGAGGGAUAAACCAAAUGACAAAUGAUUUAGGUAAACUAGAAAAAUGGCCAGAAUUGUGGCAACUGACAUUUAAUGUGGAUAAGUGCAAGAUAAUGCAUCUUGGACGUAAAAACCCAAGGGCAGAGUACAGAAUAUUUG